GAGGCCUCUAAAUUGUGCAUUUUGGCGGGAAAAUGGACGGAUCUUGGAAAAAGCUCGCGGAUCCUUUUUGUUCAUGAAUCCGACCCAAUGGAUAUCCAUUCACCCGAUUAACAAAUGAGUACACCAUACGUUUCAAACAUUCAGAAACCCUAAUCUUCCAUCCUCAAUCGCCGUUCUUCCAUCAAUCAAGCAAUUCAGAUGGUGAUCCAUCUUCGUUUCAUCCUUAGGGUUACAGUUCCUCCUCUGCAAGGGAUUCUCUUAUAGUCUUCCAUCGUCUUUAUACAUAAGAAAUCGUCACUUGUAAUGUCUUUCUCACCAGGGUUAUGGAAUUGGGAUUAUUCAUACAAUAAUAAUAAGCUAGCUCAUAUUCAUAAGCUUAAGAAGACAGAAGACAUGAUCUUAAUGGUUCUUUAGAUAUUCACUGCUGGGCGCUCCUGAAGAAUUUGAUCAAAUUUAUGGACCACUUGCUCUACAUCCUGUGUAAAUGAUCAGCAAAGAUAAAGGAGCAACAUGGAUACCGCCAAUCUCACAUUACAGUGCGGGGUUUGCCAGAUUGGUGUAAUUGGUCGAAAGGUUAGACGUUAUCCAUUUACUCUUAUAUGGGGUGACUUUGGAUUUUUUAGUUACUUUUAGUGGGUUAAAUGAGUAUCAUUUCUAUUCAAGAAAGUCAUUUGCCAAAAGUAUGUAUUUCCUUCACAAUUACCCUUUACCCAAAUUGAGUUAUUCGUUUGAAGUGUAGUUUAGUUAUAAAGUCAUAAUGACCAAUUUAGAUGGUGUACAGGUCUUCUCGCCCAUUUGAAGUGGUUUUGUAGGGAAAAAGUAAUUUGCCUAUUAAAGUUGUUACAACAAGGUGUGAUUUUUGUGAUUAUAAAAUGUUACUUCACAUGUAUUAAGCUGUGAGAAUGGGUAUUAAAAACAAAAUGACACUUUUAAAGGCAAAUUAACUCUUCAGAUACAAAUUUUAUUUGUCUCUCUCUUGAUGGAUUCUAAGAAAGUUGCCUUUAGUUUAACAUCGUAACAAAAGCCACAAACUCAUUUUAAUUGAAAUAUGUGCCAGUUUAGUUUAAUAUGUAUAUGCAUAUACAUAUAUGUGCCAUUGAUUUUGAUAAUUUGUCUAUAUUUUAAUCCGUUUUGUUAUUAGAAUUAGUUGGUUACGCACAACAAGUUGGUUCUGCAUUCGCCAAAGGUAUGUUUCUUCAUCAUGUUAUCUGUGGCGACUUAUGUUGGAAUUCUCAUUCUCUUAAUAUGCAUUUGCGAGUAUGACCUGUUUGAAAUAUAUUUUGGUCAUAAAGAACAAAGCAUCUUUAGCUUAUUUGACCCUUUGAAAAUGUGUUUGGUCAUAAGGAACAAUUUAAAUUGUAUUCGGGUCUUUUGACCUAUUUCAAGUGGUUUUUGUAUGUAAAAAGUUAAGAGUAAAGCACACUGAUGGUCCCUGUGGUUUACCAAAAUUUUGGAUUCGGUCCCUGGCUUUCCAAAAGUACAUGGAUGGUCCAUGUACCUUUGGAAAAAGUUAGGGACUAAAUAUGUUACAAAGUGCAAACUAUCGCCCCUAACUUUUUCCAAAGUGCAAACCAUAAGGACCAUCCAUGUACUUUUGGAAAGCUAGGGACCAGAUUCAAAAUUUUGGUAAACCACAGGGCCCAUCGAUGUACUUUACUUAAAAAAGUUAUUUCCAUGUUUAAGAAUAAAGGUCAAAUUAUAAUGCAUUUUGUAUCAGUUUAAUAGUAAAUUAAUCUAAUUCCCCUACUUAAAAACAAGGGGUCAAGUGCUCUUUCAUUUGUAUCAGUUUAAUAUUGAAUUUAGUUCACCAAUAGAGUUAUCAUUUGUUCAUUUUAAAAGUAAUUAUGUGGUUGGGUUAGUAUUUUUUAAUUUAAAAUCAAAUCCAUCACGGCCUUACAGGACAUCAAACCUUCAUAUCUGAAAAUGUGAACUUUUAGGUUUUGUUCUCAUGCCUUCAUGUUAUUCAGUAAUGAUUUUCUCUUAGGAAUGAAGCUUAAGUGAAGAAUAUGGUAGUGAAUUAAGGGAUAAUAUGAUUCCUCAAUUUCAGUAGCAAACAGUAAGAAUGUGGGAGCAAAAUAACUGAUUAGAAUGCCAAAAGAUUCAAAAUGUUGGGUAACAAAAAAUUGAACGAUAUAUUCGCAUGUGUACAUAUAGAAGUAGUAUGUAGAGGAAAUAAGAACUGAUUUGAAGGCACUAAACAACAAGCAUCUUUAAAGCAAGAAUAUUGCUAAUAAAAGCAUUAGGAGGCAUGUAUAUGUUUUUUACAACAAAAACUACAUGAGUCUAAAACUGAAGUGGUGAUGCUUGAAUCUUGUGCUCUUAAUUUUGCUUCAUUUGACAUUUUGUUUCUACUAUUCUAUUUUUAACAUGUUGCUGAUGUUCUUUGAAUAUGUAUAUAAGUUCUUUGGGUGUUAUGUGUUUGGCAGUAUUGUUAGAUUAGACAUGUAUUUUAUUAAUUUUUAAUAUUAGCAUGUCUAUCUUGGGAAACAAGAAAAAAACUUGCAUGUCUUCAGGGAUGCUUGCUUAAUAAUGGUUUUUACCCAUUGACUUGUGAAAAUUGAUAGUUUUUACCGUUUUGUGUGUUCUAAUAGUCCAUUACUUACAUAAUUUUAGUCGUUUUGGUUGUCACUGUUGUUUGUGAAGUCGUUGAUUAGGUUUCACAUUACUGUGACUAAUAUUAUAAUUAUUAAAGCAUGUUGUACAACUUAUUCUUGCAUUCCUUUUCGGGAUUUUAGUGGACAUGUAAUUUAAUCAUGAUGGGAUUGACAUUCCUUUAGGGGACUAUGAUGAUCAAUUGUUUUUUUUGUAUAUUGUUGAGUAUUAGGGUGAAGGGGGUGCUCACCUAAUAGGUGAGUCCCCUCUCUUACGCCAAACCAAUCCCCGUGUGCCACGUCAACUCCCCUCUUAAACUCCCCUAACACCCCAAUUUGAUGGCGCCACUCCCCUCUUAGGUUAAUUGGUUUUUUUUUUAAAAAAAAAAAAAAAAAAAAAGAAAAGAUGUGAUUGGACCUGCGCCUUCUCUCUCCUCCCUCUCUCUCGGUGAGCCGCCACCGGUUUCAUCCCCCUCUCUCACUCACCGAUUGAACGGCGGCACAUUGCCUAUCGGCAAAAUCACUCCCCGCGGCACUCCCCGAUUUACGCCCCGUAUACCCUUAGCAUGUUAUUUGACUUUCCAUUUACAUCUGAGUCAUUAAGUAUGCAGCCAUGGCGGAUUUGUCCUCUUUGUUUGAAGAUGAGGUAUUCUGUAUGUUGACAGGGUAGUCGAUAUGGUGACGCUUUUUAGUGCUAUGCGUGUCAACCAAUGAAUUCAUGAACUGGUUGCAUUCUUGGACUUAACAACAUCUAUGUACAUGCCAAUCGGUUUCUCUAUGCAUUACUUUCAUAAUGGAACUAAUAAGUGAUCAUCACAUCUUAAACUCAUUGAGGUUUUCUAAUUAGAUGAUGAAUUGUUGAUUAUUGUUAUUAAUAUAUGAAUUGGCUUAUGGAUGUGCAGGAUGAUAGGAAAAUUGUUGUGAAGAAGCUUUCAGAGACAUCAAAAUAAGGGAAUAGAGAAUUUACAAACUGCAGGCAGGCUGAGGCGGCGUCUUCGUCUUCCACCGAAAUGGCAGUGGUGAAGGAAUCUGGUGGAUGUGAGUCGUAAGAACAAAGAACAGGAGGUUUGAUGAGGAGGUUCGAUCAUCCGAUCCAUAUGCCAAGGGCUGGACCAAGACUGUUUGAAUGUGUGAAAAAAACUUGGCAUGGUGAUAAACACAAGCCACUUAGAGAGUCCAUUAUUUAGAAGUUUUUUAGAGUUCCCAUAGUCUUGGUACUAAGAAGAAUAUAGAAUGGCAAGAUAAGUUGGCUGUUGUAUAUUGAAGUUGCGACAAAGCUGCUCGAGGACAAUGUUGGGGCGCAAGUAAUGAAGUUGGCUGUUGUAUAUUGAGGUUGCGACAAAGCUGCUCGAGGACAAUGUUGCAGCGCCGGAAGACCCAUUGUUUUCAUGUUAAGAAAGACUUUCUUGUGAAUUGACACAUGUAGAGGUUGACUCUAAAGAGUAUUAAAUGGUUGCGUUCUAUGCUAUGGAAGUAUAAUCAAUUCGGUCAUAACUUGCAAAUCUAUAGGAACGAGAAGCUCACCUGAAAGCUCGCCGAAACUAAGGGACAUGCCUAAUGAGUCACUGGAAGAGGAGGUCCGGGCGUAAUGUCCGACAAAUCGGGAGAAACUGAGUACCAAGAAUCUAUGCAAAGCCAAAUUAACAUUAUUAAGGGAAUAAAGAGAUCAAAGUUUGAAGGAAUCAAGUAGAAUCUUGGACAAACAAAAAUACGUGAUUUGCACAAAUCAUGCUUCAGAGUUUGGGAUCAAAACGCAUCAAAGCGCAUCACCCUUUUUAAAACCAAGGACUGAUGUUGUUAUCUUUAGUGACAGGAGCUUCAUACCUUUUUAACUGUAUAAGGGAAGAAGUCAUUGGUUCCAUUUAAUAUAUCAGCUAGCGAAAAAGAAGGGGACGGUUCCCUCCUACACUAGAAUUAAGAAGUUGUACCCAAUUUGGAGCAACUACAAAUAACUAAUAUUAACUGGAAUCUUUAUGAGCUGCUUAACUGGUUAUUAUUUUGGCUUAGUGUUGGUUAAGAAAUGAAGUGAUUAUUAUUUUAGUGAUGCAGUAAGAAUUUGUGCUAUCUGAAACAUAAAGGUUUAUAAGUCAGCGAAUGAUUUUAAGUUAUAGUAAGUAGCGUACUAAUGGGUGACUUAAUGAAAUCCUUGUGAGAUCAACUAAGGAGGAUUUGUUUGUAUUUCGAAGAUGGGAUAUAAAUUUAGGUGCAUAAUAAAAUUCGACAUGGUUGCUUUUACAAGAUAAUCUGAAACAUGGUUCUUGACAAGUUUGUAAGGGAAUACACUAUUUAAAUGUCAUCUUCUAACUGAGAGGACGGUUGGUUUCGAUAUAAGUGUUAUAGUUGAAUGUUAACAAGUAGGUUCCUCAUUCUACAAAGGUAUGUUUCUCCAUCUUAUUACCCGUAUUGAGUUAUGUUAGAAUUCUCAUGUUCUUAAUAUGCAUUCACGUCUUUGACCCGUUUUAAGUGUGUGUUGGCUAUAAAUAUGUGUGUAAAUGAAAUCGGUUGGGUAACGUGUCAAAUGCGUAUGGUUGGUACAUGUCGGGUUGACAUGUAAAUGUUUUUGUCCGAAGUUAAUAAUUUUUAUGAAUAAAUAUUUACUUGAAAAUUUGAGUUAGAACUUUUUGAUAUUCGGUAACAAUCCAAUUUUUUUUUUUAUCAAAAUACUACUUUGGAUAACUUUUGACCCACAUCUGACCCGUUUCCACUAAAACUAUUUUUAUAUACAAAUAUUUGUUUAUGUAUUUAAUUUAAAGAAAAACGAUUUUAUUAACUAAUAGGAAUUCUAUUUAAUAUAUUGGCUGUUUUUAAAACUAUGGAAAAUGGUAAUGGUCAACUAGAACGAUUCGUUCGGGUUGAAAAGAGAGAUUACUAAUUUAGUCGAUUGAUAAGGCCAUCAAAAAAUUGUUUAAUCAUAAUUUCUUUGCAAUUACUGUGGAGAAAUUAGCGGAGUACUUAGAAUUUGAAAUUUGAAACUGAAAUUUUUAUUGGAGUCUAUUUUGGAAGUCAAAGAUUGUACUCGACUUGGAUUUGAUGACAUUGUUUUUAAUUAGAGUUUGAUUGGUUUUAUUUAUGGAAGUGAUUGGGUCAAAACAUGGGAGGGAUACGUUGACCCACUAAUCCUUUUCAUACGUUUUUUAAUAUAUAUUGGGGUAACUUUGUAGAAUAGUAACCAAGUUCUAAAAGUGUUUCAAUUAGGUCACUCAAGUUUCAAAAGUGUUCCAAUCAGGUCACUCAACAUUCAUUUUUCAUUAAAAUUAAGGGUUUUUUCAUCUAUUUCAUAAGUAACCAUGGUGAUGUGGAUUUUUGUUUCUUUUUUCCCUUUUAUUUGAUGCUAACUUUGAGUGAUGACGUAAAUUGUAACUUGUUUUUUUUAAUUUUUAAUGUAAUUAAAGUGUUUUUAUUUUUAAUAAAUAUAAUUUCAAAUAUUAAAAUAAUCCGACCGCAACAUCUUAUUCUUCAUUUUUUUCUUGACACAUAGAAAAAAAGACAUGACUCGAUUUGAAUGUUAAGUUAUCUAAUUGGGACAAAAACGAUACGAGUGACCUAAUUAGAACACUUUUGAAACUUUGUUACUAUUCUGUGGCAUAUUUUAAAUCUAUAUUUAGUGGGUUAACAACAAUUACAAAAGUAUUAUGACAUUAAUUAUCUAUAUCUUUGAGCAAAGAGUGGUAAAAAAGUUUCGAAGCUGAUUAUGGGCUUUUCAACCUGAUUGACCUGUACAUCCUUUAGCAGUUUUUUUUUUUUUUGACCACUUUGAUAUGUUUGAUAUAAAACCAAAACAUCAUUCGAUUUUAAUAGAUAACCCAACAUGACUCAUUUUUUUCCAGUUUUUGUCGGUCUAUGGAGACGUUAAUGUUAUUUUAUUCUCAUACGUGUCAAGGGCAACAUGGGUAUUUACAAGUUAAACGCGAAGGCAUCUACUUACAACAUGACAAAGAUUAGUGAUUGGGAGUCAUUUGUGUUCCUUAGGAACUACUUAUUAGUGUGAUCAUCUCUUGCUAUCUCUUAUAAUUAUCCUACUCAUGAUAUCAUAUGCCAUUGUAGAUUGGCAGACCAACUCUCUAUGGGUUGGCCGCAAAGGGAGAGUAUGGAGUUAGAAGAAAUGUUGAAGGAUGAAAUUGAGCUCAUAAUGGCUUUUUCAUGUUGCCCCACCCUCAAUGAUAUAUGGAUGUCACUUUGUUUAUGAUUUAUGAAGUGAAGGAUAUCAAAUUUUAGGUGUUUGCCUUGCAUCUAUAACAUUGGAUGUGGCAAGGCGUGCUACACCAGUCGGACUGAGCUCAUGUUAAUUAUAGUAAAUUAUAAAUGUAACAUUAUUUGUCUUUUUCUUGAUAUUUUGUACACGGUUUAUAAAGAAAACUUCAUACCUAA